GUGCUUGCUUCAGCAGCACAUAUACUAAAAUUAGAGCGAUACAGAGAAGAUUAGGAUGGACCCUGAACAAGGAUGACAGGCAAAUUCAUGAAGCUUUCCAUAUUUUU
ensembl:snRNA U6 U6 spliceosomal RNA